rnacentral:rRNA from 1 species
CCUACGGGUGGCUGCAGUGGGGAAUUUUGCGCAAUGGGCGAAAGCCUGACGCAGCAACGCCGCGUGCGGGAUGAAGGCCUUCGGGUUGUAAACCGCUUUCAGCAGGGAUGAAACUGACAGUACCUGCAGAAGAAGCCCCGGCUAACUACGUGCCAGCAGCCGCGGUAAUACGUAGGGGGCAAGCGUUAUCCGGAUUUAUUGGGCGUAAAGCGCGCGUAGGCGGCUUGUUAAGCGAGAUGUGAAAACCGGGGGCUUAACCCGCGGCCUGCAUCUCGAACUGGCAGGCUUGAGUCUGGUAGAGGAAAGUGGAAUUCCCAGUGUAGCGGUGAAAUGCGCAGAUAUUGGGAGGAACACCAGUGGCGAAGGCGGCUUUCUGGGCCACGACUGACGCUGAGGCGCGAAAGCUAGGGGAGCGAACAGGAUUAGAUACCCUUGUAGUCU